GUAUCAAAUAUUCCUGUUGCCUGAUUUCAGGGCUCUGUUGCUCAGAAGAUCUCUCGUUUACUUUGAACACUAAAUACAGCCUGCAAGAUAAUUAUGAACACCAUGCAUCUUGAACUCUUCUCUGUGCCCAAAGCAAGAAGCCAAAUGGACACACAUUCAUCUGAAGCUAGGACUAGAUUUCUGGUGGCAGGAACUGCUUUGGAUCACUCUCAGGUGUUGUGGGAGCAUUUGAUUUUUGGUGAGACUUCUUGAGCAUUCCCUGCAUUUUCCUAAAGAGCUGCAGGAGUCAAAUUUCUGGUAAGAAACUAGUCCUUUUCUCCCCUUAGUGAACAGCCACUCCAGAUUUUGUGAGGCUACAGCAAGACUUUAAAAAGAAGAAACUGAUAACAAACUGGUAAA
rnacentral:lncRNA from 1 species